GGCGAGAUUUUUCAAGGACUCUACAAUACGUCAAAUCUGCUGUAGAAAGCAAUGGAAGACUACUGGUACAAAUUCUGGAGAAAGUAGAGAAGCUAGAAAUUGGGGCAAGAAGUGAAGCUGCCGUAAAAAACUAACUCAGCGGAAAGCAACAUUGAUGAAAUGCUUCCAUGUAAAACAUAUCAAGAUGUAUUGAAAGUGGAAGAGACUAUAAUCAAGUCGACUGAUGCACUGAAUAAAUUGACGAAAAUUCUUCAACUUGUCGGAGGUUCGGAGACCAAGACGCUACUACAUAACAUGGUCCGAAAAAUUGUGGUGGAUGAAGUAGCACAGCUGUACAGCUUCAAAGGAGCUGUGGCGGGGAAGAAAUCGUUUCAAAAUUUAAAAAUGUAUAAAGUUUUAAAAGGAGUUAUUCAGAAACAGAAAGCAGAUGCCACUGACGACUAUCUGAAAGACGUAAUUGGAGAUUGGCUGACACAAGCUAAAUUUCGUGUUAAAAGAAGGCUUGAUCGAGCAGCCAAGAAAGUCAACAAUCCUGGUAAAGGCUUGGUUGAUGUAACUAGCCAAGUCACCAAUGACCUUGAAGAACCUGGUGUUACUUUAGAAGAUGUAGGACCAGAUGAAAAUCAAGAGGAAAAUCUAGAGAAAAUAAAGAGAGAGAUGAGUUAGAUGAAAAUAUCUAACCAAUUAUAAUGCCUACCAUCUACUUAAAAUAUCCACUACUAUCCAUAGUAAUGUCUGCUGAUAUUGUUGUUUUAUCAAAGAGUUGAAUAAUGCUGUUUACCGCCUUACAUAUUUAUAUGAAUAUUUGUACGUACUUACGAAUAUUUAUACAGUACGUACGUAAUAUUUAUUUGUACAUACGUAAUAUUUAUACGUGUACUUUUAUUCCUUAAGCCUAUUGUUUUUGUGAUUUCUCUUUGGGUAAUUUUUUUACCUUAAUAUUAUUUAGUUUUCUUUGUUUGCUUUUUUACGGGCGAAUACAUUAGUAAAUUGUUCAUCCUGUUUUGUAGCCGCCAAAUUUGACUGAGUUUUCAGCUUCUUCCUUUUUGUAUUUUAUUGAGGAAAUUCAAGAGAGAGAUGAGUUCGAUGAAAAUAUUUAAACAAUUCUGAUUUCUAUCAUCUAUGAAUAAUAUGCACUGUAGUAUCCAUAAUAAUGUCUUCUGACAUUUGUUGUUUUUUCAAAGAGCGGAAUGGUUUUGUUUAGCUCCUCAUAUAUUUAUAUGAAUUUUUACACGUGCAUACUUGUGCACUUUUAUUCCUUGAGCCUACUGUUUUUGUGAUUUCUCUUUGGGUAAUUUUUUUACCUUCAUAUUAUUUAGUUUUCAUUUGUCAUUGAGGAAUAAUAAUUUUUAUUUUUCGCGGGCCAAUACAUUAAUAAUUGUAACCCUCUUUAGCAGCCGCCAAUUUUUGACUGAGUUUUCAGCUUCUUCCUUUUUGUACUUUAUUUUGAGUUGCAUUUUACAAUACACAAGAUAUUAUUGUAAAUCCUUUGACUUAAUUUUUCUCAUUUUCCAGUCAAGUUUGUUGACUACAGAAAAUUAGUUUACACCUAGAACCAUAAUUAGACUGAGCUUAGCAAAAAGCAGCCAAUAUUUAAAGAAAAUAAAUAAAUAAAUUAACGUAAAUGUAGUUUUCAGCAUAACUCCUAAUAUUUUAUCUCAUUGAAAAUUAAUUGUAGGGAUGAAAAAUUUAAUUAUUAAAAGUAAUGGUUAAAAGUAUGUUUCACUGUGAGUCUUCUGGAGGAAUGAAACAUGAGCCCUCUUUUUCUUAGUUUUAUGUGGACAGGCGUUUGUUCAUUUUUGUUAAACUUAGUGUAAUUAUGAACAUAAAUAUUUAGCUUUAUUAGUUUUGUUUUGAUUAUUGUUUCUCCCAGAGAGGCGAGCAUUAAAUCUGACAGGGCAAAAGAAACUUUUUACUAUUGAUUGCUUCAGUCUGGAAACACAAAUCUGCCCUAAGUACAGCAUUUCAAAAUUUCCGCUAUCAUUUUAUUUUUAAAGGACAAUGUAUGACAAUUUUUCUAGUAAUUUGCAGAAUGUAUCUUAUCCAAUUUUUUGUAAAGACUAUGCAGUAACCUUGAUAUUGUUCAGUUAGUUAUGGAUUUGUAAAUUGCUUGGGUACAAAAAUACAUUUAUUCGCAUCGCAGUGUGAUUCAAAAUUUCCUCUCAUAUUUCCAGUUAGAAUGGAAAGCAACAAAUUUUUAUUUGCAAUUUCGCAAUGCCAGUUUUUUACUGACAUAAGAGCUGGUGUUGUGAAGUGGCAAUAAGGAAUUCAUUGCUUUUCCUUCAAAACUGGAAGUAAGAGCUGAAAUUUUGAAACACUGCAUGUGUUUUCGCACACAAGCCAUCUACGUAUCCAUGUCUGACAGUGCGUUAUCAGGGUUACUGCAAUACUGCAUCAAUAUUAGGAAGAAAAGAAUAGGAUUGCAUACUCAUUGUCAGUGUCAAGGUAAAAUGAACCAUCACCAAGAUCACCUUGUCAUAACCUUGAUUUCAGUGUGAAAUCAACCUUUACAUCAAUAUUGUGACAAUAUUCUGACAGCAUAACGGGAGUAACAUGAAAGUACUGACAUAAUACUGAUAUAAUAUGACAUCAAGAUAUAUCAACAUUAUAUUCAUAUUAACACCCUUGACGUGUCAAUAUGAAUAUAAUAUUAUAUCAAUAUUCCUUGCUAUGUGGGUAUGAAACGACGAUAAAGGAAAGAAAUUAUGCGAGAUCCUACCUCCGUUUUCCGCUGGAGAGAGGACGCGGCGGAUCGACUCGAACUCGAGGCAGACUCCGACGUUUUUAAAUGAUAACGCACGAGCACUGGAUCGAGUCUUUCCAACAGGACAACCGGAUUUUUCCGCCUGUUCGAAAUUUCACCGCCGACUUUUUCAUGAGUACCUGAAACGUAGGAAAAAAGAGAAAUUGACAGGUUGAUAUGGCACAGCAAAAGUAUCGUUGGCUUUCCUAAAUCGAUACUAAUCAGUGCCGACCGACCGGCCGCUCAGUGGGCCUCUCAAGUAGCGCUACGGGAAAAAAGUUAGUUUUUGGAAGAAACUGUAAUUUUUGAACACAGCGACCCUCAAGAAUACCUAAAAGUGUAUUUUGUACGGUUUGGACAUAAAAUCUGAUUGAUUAACACCCAAAUCCGGCUUUGGAACUAUAUUUUGGCGCGCGAAAAUCGAUCGGCGCGCGUUGAGCGGAAACUUCAAUCGCUCAUAACUACGAAACUAUUUAUUUCCCCAGCUUAUAUGACCACUCGUUGGAUGCGGAAAAAGACGAACAAUUUAAAAAACUGGUUUUGGUUCAAAUCAAAAAAUGUGAAAUUUCAGUUUAAUCUGUUUAAAAUAAAUUUUUUUUCCUCAAAAACUGAAAAAAGCACAUAAGAUAACUUAAAAAUGUAAUUUUGGGAUUUUGAACUUUAGAAUCUUAAAGUAUGCAAUUUUAGACGAUUUUUAGUCCAAACCGGGCCUCAAUAUCUUUUUUCGUUCGAAAGAUAUCGAGGCUCAUAGGUUUUGACUUCCGCCCCCCCUAGCGCCCCCCCAAAAUUUUUUGGGGGUCUGAAAAUUUGGGGAAAGAAGCACUCCAGUAUGAGUAACUGAUAGACGAAGUCUGAAUAAGUUUUAGAGGGGGGGUGAAAAAAGUCGUUUUUGCAUACAGCUCUUUCGAAUAAUCACCUAUUAUAAAAAUUCAGAUUUAUAGGGGCAAUUUUUAGGGGCCACGUUGGCGCAGUCUUCAUUUUUUAGGCGCCAUUGCCGAUUUUUUAGGCGCCAUUGCCGAUUUUUUAGGCGCCAUUGCCGAUUUUUUAGGCACAUUUGGGGCGUUGGCGCCUGUGAGUUUCGAACACUGCCCAUUAAGGAGGCGGAUCGAUCAACAGGAUGUUCAUGACGAGCACCUUAAAAAUCGAUUCUUAGCCGAUUUUCAAAUAGGCAAAUGUUGAUAAUCGAUCAUUCACGCCUCGCCACUGAUACGAAUACAGCUAAGAAGAAUUGAAACACCACAGCAUAUGUUCCCUUAUAAAAUAUCUCACAAAGAACAUGUUCAAAUUUCAGAGAUCAACUUAUUAGAAUAAGUAAAGCGUCA
rnacentral:lncRNA from 1 species